AGAAUGAGAACCGUACACCGUGGCUGCCUCAGCCUGUUGAUGGGCAAGAGCUGUGUGGAUGAAAAUGAGUAGAAUGAUCGUAUAUCUACGUUUAAUAACGGAUAUUCCCUUAAUGAGGGACAAGGUAAAAUGACACACAAAAUAAUUAUUUUUACAAAUAAUUGCAGUGCAAAAUAGACCAUAACCAAACAUAUUAAAUAUGAAUGCGGAUGAGUUGUUGAAAGAAUGCUUUGUUUUAUAACUAGAUUGUUAAAAAUUGAAAUAUGCGCAAUAUCCGUUUGUUAUGCAUUUGUCUUUUUCGGUUACCUCCCCAUUAUUCAGGGAAGAUCCAAAAUGGCGUCCCCCAACUGCCACGUCUUCCUCUUUUCAUAGAGGUGCGUUCCAUCCCUCCUUCCUUUGACCCAUGGCGGUGCUAACGCGAGCUAACCCGUGAGCUCUUAACAGUGAAACCACACACACAGAGGGCGUUACAUCUACACCAGAACCCUAUCACAAACAAAACCAGACGCGUAAAACAGAAAUAGAUAUCAAAAAGAGACAAGAAAAAUUACAAUCAUUCUGUACAUAACAAGGUAAUAGAAAAUGUGUGUCACCCUGUUUGUGGGAACCUGUACACCCCUUAGCCUUGGUCUUACAGCAGUCAGACAAACGGCUGUUAGGGGACAACUGCAUUCAGCAGAGAAAAUAAACAAAAUAAAGACAAGAAAAAUGGCCACCCUGUGGUAGCUCCACUCUUAACGAACCCCAAACACACGCGUUCUCACAAACCUUCAACAUCAAAGAUGAUGAGGAAGAUGAGGGUGACAACGAAGGGUUCGUCAAUAGGCUGCAGUGAUGCAUAGGCUGCACAGAUGGCCUGGUCAAUUGUGUGAGCGAGAGAGCAUGAGAGCGAGAGUGAGAGACGGAGAGAGAGAGAGAGACAGAGACAGAGACAGAGACAGAGACAGACAGAGACAGAGACAGAGAUAGAGAGAGACAGAGACAGAGAGAGAAACAGAAAGAGCGUGAGAGAGUUCAUCUUUAAAGGACCUUGUCUAAGGACCGAGGCUGGUUUAUUCACAGUGGGCGAGCCACUGACCCGAGCUUCUAAGCUAACACAGUUCUACAAACAGAAACACCCACACACCCAAAAGCCUUGAUACAACAACACAGUAACCUUAGCAUGGCUGAAUUCGCUGUGCUUCUUGAAGUCUGUCUGGAAUACACUGGCAUGAAUAACAAAAGGACCCCCUCUUAGAUCCUGCAGGUAAGUGUGUGUGUGUGUGUGUGUGUGUGUGUGUGUGUGUGUGUGUGUGUGUGUGUGUGUGUGUGUGUGUGUGUGUGUGUGUGUGUGUGUGUGUGUGUGUGUGUGUGUGUGUGUGUGUGUGUGUGCGCGUGUGUGUGUGUGUGACAAUAAACAAACCAACCAACAAAUGAACAAAACAAGAACGGAACAAAGAACGAAGGAAACAACGGAAAUGACAAAUCAACCCAACAAAGAAACAUGGAAGAGAAGAGCAGAGAAAUAAUUACAGAGAAUAACCCCCAAAAAAAACCAACGACAAAGAACAACGAAGUACCAGAAAAAGGAGCAGGUUGAUGUGAGCAGUAGUGAACGCAGACGAGGUCUGAGCAGAGAUCCAAGGCUGCCCCGGUGAAGCCCCCCAGCCCCCCCCAGACGGGCCCGUCAGACAGGGACUUGGCUGCUGGGCUAGCAGCAUCUGGACGGACCUCACUUAGGGCCGACACUCGGCUAAACAACUCAUUAAGACUGAUGUUCCCGCAUCGGGCGCCGGCCGGUACCGACACAGCGUGUGUGUGUGUGUGUGUGUGUGUGUGUGUGUGUGUGUGUGUGUGUGUGUGUGUGUGUGUGUGUGUG
ensembl:lncRNA